rnacentral:rRNA from 1 species
AGAGUUUGAUCAUGGCUCAGAGCGAACGCUGGCGGCAGGCCUAACACAUGCAAGUCGAGCGCCCCGCAAGGGGAGCGGCAGACGGGAGAGUAACACGUGGGAACGUGCCCUUCAGUUCGGAACAACCCAGGGAAACUUGGGCUAAUACCGGAUACGUCCGUAAGGAGAAAGAUUUAUCGCUGAAGGAUCGGCCCGCGUCUGAUUAGCUUGUUGGUGAGGUAACGGCUCACCAAGGCGACGAUCAGUAGCUGGUCUGAGAGGAUGAUCAGCCUCACUGGGACUGAGACACGGCCCAGACUCCUACGGGAGGCAGCAGUGGGGAAUAUUGGACAAUGGGCGCAAGCCUGAUCCAGCCAUGCCGCGUGGAUGAUGAAGGCCUUAGGGUUGUAAAGUCCUUUCGGCGGGGAAGAUAAUGACGGUACCCGCAGAAGAAGCCCCGGCUAACUUCGUGCCAGCAGCCGCGGUAAUACGAAGGGGGCUAGCGUUGCUCGGAAUCACUGGGCGUAAAGCGCACGUAGGCGGCUUUUUAAGUCAGGGGUGAAAUCCUGGAGCUCAACUCCAGAACUGCCUUUGAUACUGAGAAGCUUGAGUCCGGGAGAGGUGAGUGGAACUGCGAGUGUAGAGGUGAAAUUCGUAGAUAUUCGCAAGAACACCAGUGGCGAAGGCGGCUCACUGGCCCGGUACUGACGCUGAGGUGCGAAAGCGUGGGGAGCAAACAGGAUUAGAUACCCCCGUAGUCC